AUUGAACGCUGGCGGCAGGCCUAACACAUGCAAGUCGAACGAGUGGCGGACGGGUGAGUAAUGUCUGGGAAACUGCCCGAUGGAGGGGGAUAACUACUGGAAACGGUAGCUAAUACCGCAUACCAUCGGAUGUGCCCAGAUGGGAUUGACUAGUAGGUGGGGUAACGGCUAACCUAGGCGACGAUCCCUAGCUGGUCUGAGAGGAUGACUAGCAACACUGGAACUGAGACACGGUACAGACUCCUACGGGAGGCAGCAGUGGUGAAGAUGGCACAAUGGGCGCAAGCCUGAUGCAGCCAGGCCGCGUGUAGGAAGAAUGCCUUCGGGUUGUAAAGUACUUUCAGCGAGGAGGCGUUACUCGCAGAAGAAGCACCGGCUAACUCCGUGCCAGCAGCCGCGGUAAUAC
rnacentral:rRNA from 1 species